rnacentral:rRNA from 1 species
GGCAGCAUGGUCUUAGCUUGCUAAGGCCGAUGGCGACCGGCGCACGGGUGAGUAACACGUAUCCAACCUGCCGUCUACUCUUGGACAGCCUUCUGAAAGGAAGAUUAAUACAAGAUGGCAUCAUGAGUCCGCAUGUUCACAUGAUUAAAGGUAUUCCGGUAGACGAUGGGGAUGCGUUCCAUUAGAUAGUAGGCGGGGUAACGGCCCACCUAGUCUUCGAUGGAUAGGGGUUCUGAGAGGAAGGUCCCCCACAUUGGAACUGAGACACGGUCCAAACUCCUACGGGAGGCAGCAGUGAGGAAUAUUGGUCAAUGGGCGCAGGCCUGAACCAGCCAAGUAGCGUGAAGGAUGACUGCCCUAUGGGUUGUAAACUUCUUUUAUAAAGGAAUAAAGUCGGGUAUGGAUACCCGUUUGCAUGUACUUUAUGAAUAAGGAUCGGCUAACUCCGUGCCAGCAGCCGCGGUAAUACGGAGGAUCCGAGCGUUAUCCGGAUUUAUUGGGUUUAAAGGGAGCGUAGAUGGAUGUUUAAGUCAGUUGUGAAAGUUUGCGGCUCAACCGUAAAAUUGCAGUUGAUACUGGAUAUCUUGAGUGCAGUUGAGGCAGGCGGAAUUCGUGGUGUAGCGGUGAAAUGCUUAGAUAUCACGAAGAACUCCGAUUGCGAAGGCAGCCUGCUAAGCUGCAACUGACAU